GACGAACGCUGGCGGCGUGCCUAAUACAUGCAAGUUGAGCGCUGAAGGUUGGUACUUGUACCAACUGGAUGAGCAGCGAACGGGUGAGUAACGCGUGGGGAAUCUGCCUUUGAGCGGGGGACAACAUUUGGAAACGAAUGCUAAUACCGCAUAAAAACUUUAAACACAAGUUUUAAGUUUGAAAGAUGCAAUUGCAUCACUCAAAGAUGAUCCCGCGUUGUAUUAGCUAGUUGGUGAGGUAAAGGCUCACCAAGGCGAUGAUACAUAGCCGACCUGAGAGGGUGAUCGGCCACAUUGGGACUGGGACACGGCCCAAACUCCUACGGGAGGCAGCAGUAGGGAAUCUUCGGCAAUGGACGAAAGUCUGGCCGAGCAACGCCGCGUGAGUGAAGAAGGUCUUCGGAUCGUAAAACUCUGUUGGUAGAGAAGAACGUUGGUGGGAGUGGAAAGCUCAUCAAGUGACGGUAACUACCCAGAAAGGGACGGCUAACUACGUG
rnacentral:rRNA from 1 species